rnacentral:rRNA from 2 species
AAUCAAGUGCCUUAAGGGUGUUCGGUGGAUGCCUUGGCGCUGAGAGGCGAUGAAGGACGUGCUACGCUGCGAUAAGCCGUGGGGAGCUGCGAAGAAGCUUUGAUCCAUGGAUUUCCGAAUGGGGAAACCCACCUUCGAUAGCCGGAACUCCAAGACCUCAGUCGAAAGACUGUGGUGUGGGGUUCGAUCAGAAAUGAGAGAUGCCUAAGCCUUUAGAUUUCGAUCGAAGAGGUUUUGGAUUUCCGGUUAUCAAGAGAAGGUAUGAGACUUCUGAAUACAUAGGAGGUUUCAAGCAAACCCAGGGAACUGAAACAUCUAAGUACCUGGAGGAAAGGACAUCAACAGAGACUCCGUUAGUAGUGGCGAGCGAACGCGGACCAGGCC